GGGGCUGACUGGAUUUGACUGCAAGCGCGUUUUGUAGUAAGCAUGUCGAGCAUUGUAUUUUAGCUCGUAAAUAUCAAAAUUCAACUUUUUUAAUUGGCGAGAACAAUUACGCUUUAGCUGCCUAAUUUAUAUAAUUACGUAAGCUUUUGUCUCUUUUAUAGGACCUUCUGAUUCCUAUAGAUUAUGAGGCAUAAUAAAUUUCAGGAUAGUUAGUUUAUUGCUUUUAUAAACUAGCGAAACUUUAAAAAGCUAAGGAUUAGGUUUGGGUGCUUGUUUCCUGCCUAGUUUCGAAAAAUAAAAUAAGAUAAACAUGUAGAAAAUUAUAUCAUUCCUUGUUUGGACGGGGGUUCGAUACCCCCCAGCUCCACCA
rnacentral:tmRNA from 1 species